rnacentral:rRNA from 1 species
ACGUAGGGGGCGAGCGUUGUUCGGAAUUACUGGGCGUAAAGGGCAUGUAGGCGGCUUGGUAAGCCUGGCGUGAAAGACUGCAGCUUAACUGUAGGGAUGCGUUGGGAACUGCUUAGCUUGAGUUACGGAGAGGGAGCUGGAAUUCCUGGUGUAGGGGUGAAAUCUGUAGAUAUCAGGAAGAACACCGAUGGCGAAGGCAAGCUUCGGCCCCAGAACUGACGCUCCCGGGCGAAAGUGGGUUUAGGGCUUUG